AGCGAACGCUGGCGGCAUGCUUAACACAUGCAAGUCGCACGGGCAGGGGUAACUCUGUCAGUGGCGGACGGGUGAGUAACGCGUAGGUAUCUAUCCUUGGGUGGGGGACAACGGUUGGAAACGACUGCUAAUACCGCAUGAUAACUGAGGUUUAAAGGCGCAAGUCGCCUGAGGAGGAGCCUGCGUACGAUUAGCUAGUUGGUGGGGUAAAGGCCUACCAAGGCGACGAUCGUUAGCUGGUCUGAGAGGAUGAUCAGCCACAUUGGGACUGAGACACGGCCCAAACUCCUACGGGAGGCAGCAGUGGGGAAUAUUGGGACAAUGGGCGCAAGCCUGAUCCAGCAAUGCCGCGUGUGUGAAGAAGGUCUUCGGAUUGUAAAGCACUUUCGACGGGGACGAUGAUGACGGUACCCGUAGAGAAGCCCCGGCUAACUCGUGCCAGCAGCCGCAGU
rnacentral:rRNA from 1 species